rnacentral:rRNA from 1 species
UUGGAAGUAAAAAGUCGUAACAAGGUUUCCGUAGGUGAACCUGCGGAAGGAUCAUUACCUAGAGUUUGUAGACUUCGGUCUGCUACCUCUUACCCAUGUCUUUUGAGUACCUUCGUUUCCUCGGCGGGUCCGCCCGCCGAUUGGACAACAUUCAAACCCUUUGCAGUUGCAAUCAGCGUCUGAAAAAACAUAAUAGUUACAACUUUCAACAACGGAUCUCUUGGUUCUGGCAUCGAUGAAGAACGCAGCGAAAUGCGAUAAGUAGUGUGAAUUGCAGAAUUCAGUGAAUCAUCGAAUCUUUGAACGCACAUUGCGCCCCUUGGUAUUCCAUGGGGCAUGCCUGUUCGAGCGUCAUUUGUACCUUCAAGCUCUGCUUGGUGUUGGGUGGUUGUCUCGCCUCUGCGUGUAGACUCGCCUUAAAACAAUUGGCAGCCGGCGUAUUGAUUUCGGAGCGCAGUACAUCUCGCGCUUUGCACUCAUAACGACGACGUCCAAAAGUACAUUUUUUACACUCUUGACCUCGGAUCAGGUAGGGAUACCCGCUGAACUUAAGCAUAUCAAAG